AUGCACGCUGGCGGCGUGCCUAAUACAUGCAAGUCGAGCGAACAGACGAGGAGCUUGCUCCUUUGACGUUAGCGGCGGACGGGUGAGUAACACGUAGGUAACCUACCUAUAAGACUGGGAUAACUUCGGGAAACCGGAGCUAAUACCGGAUAAUAUUUCGAACCGCAUGGUUCGAUAGUGAAAGAUGGCUUUGCUAUCACUUAUAGAUGGACCUGCGCCGUAUUAGCUAGUUGGUAAGGUAACGGCUUACCAAGGCAACGAUACGUAGCCGACCUGAGAGGGUGAUCGGCCACACUGGAACUGAGACACGGUCCAGACUCCUACGGGAGGCAGCAGUAGGGAAUCUUCCGCAAUGGGCGAAAGCCUGACGGAGCAACGCCGCGUGAGUGAUGAAGGUCUUCGGAUCGUAAAACUCUGUUAUUAGGGAAGAACAAACGUGUAAGUAACGGUGCACGUCUUGACGGUACCUAAUCAGAAAGCCACGGCUAACUACGU
rnacentral:rRNA from 1 species